rnacentral:rRNA from 1 species
GUGGGGAAUUUUCCGCAAUGGGCGAAAGCCUGACGGAGCAAUGCCGCGUGGAGGUGGAAGGCCUACGGGUCGUCAACUUCUUUUCUCGGAGAAGAAACAAUGACGGUAUCUGGGGAAUAAGCAUCGGCUAACUCUGUGCCAG